UCAGACCAUACUUAUAAAGCUUUUACUAUAUAGUUCUUACUAACCAUAUUUAUAAUCAGACCAUAUAAGCAUACUAACUAGAAAUAUAGUUCUUACUAAAAUAACAAGUUAUGAUGAAUCAUCGUGGGUAAUAUCAUUUCAAGAAAAAUAACAUUUCUAGAAAAACAACAUUGUUUCUAGUUAGUACGUAACACCAUUUCUAUUUUUUAAGAACUAUGGUUAGUACAUUUUAGUAAUAUUACAAUUUCUAUGAA
rnacentral:lncRNA from 1 species